rnacentral:hammerhead_ribozyme from 1 species
AUUCAGCUGAUGAGUUCCAAAUAGGACGAAAUGCACAUCCUGAAU